rnacentral:misc_RNA from 1 species
UGGGCUCGAACGGCUAGUGACAGGCGGUGAAAAUCGCUUUUCCCGCAAGGGACACUAGUCGAGGUGCUGCAUGGCUGUCGUCAGCUCGUGUCGUGAGAUGUUGGGUUAAGUCCCGCAACGAGCGCAACCCUUGCCAUUAGUUGCUACAUUCAGUUGGGCACUCUAAUGGGACUGCCGGUGACAAACCGGAGGAAGGUGGGGAUGACGUGUAGGAGCUCGAC